UAGGGAAUUUUCGUCAAUGGGCGCAAGCCUGAACGAGCGAUGCCGCGUGAGUGAAGAAGGCCUUCGGUCGUAAAGCUCUGUUGCGGGGGGAAAAAAAGGACAGCAUCAGGAAAUGGGUGCUGACUGAUGGUGCCCCGCCAGAAAGUCACGGCUAACUACGUGCC
rnacentral:rRNA from 1 species